rnacentral:rRNA from 1 species
UGCGUAGGCGGUUUGGUAAGUCUGAUGUGAAAUCUCAGGGCUCAACUCUGAGACUGCAUCGGAAACUGCCGGGCUUGAGUAUGGGAGAGGUGAGUGGAAUUCCUGGUGUAGCGGUGAAAUAGCGUAGAUAUCAGGAGGAACACCUGUGGCGAAAGCGGCUCACUGGACCAUAACUGACGCUGAUGCACGAAAGCUAGGGGAGCAAACAGGAUUAGAUACCCUGGUAGUCCUAGCCCUAAACGAUGACUGCUUGGUGUGGCGGGUACCCAAUCCCGCCGUGCCGUAGCUAACGCGUUAAGCAGUCCGCCUGGGAGUACGGUCGCAAGGCUGAA